AGCGGUGUCACUUAUCUGACUGUCUCUCCUCCCGCUUUCCAGACCUUUCCAUCCUACUACGUGUCUUCAUUCCGGCAGCUGUCAACUCAGCCGUCCAUCGGCGAGUUUUUAUUUAAUCUUUUAACCUUACUGUUGUCCGCAUUUAUUUUCAUUAAUACAUGUUUUUGACAGUGUGGCGUAGUAAGUCGAGUGUGGCCAUUGUUAAGGAAAAGCUUUCCAGUUUUACAGCGUCAAAUGUUCAAAUGUCGAGUGCGAGUGGAAGGUCACAGGCCCCAGCAUGGGAGAGGCUGGCCACUAGAUGGCGUUCAACAGCAGGAAGAUUCAUUGGCUUGUGUUUGUACUAAUAUGGGUCUCCACAGAGCUGACAUAGGGCCUGAUUUAAAGAUAAAAGGCCCAUUCAUGGGACAUGGAAAUCAACAAAAACAAAAGCCGGUGCCCAGGUUCGGUGUUCACUUCUGGUGAAAAAAAAUGAAGGGUUAAAUGCAGAGGUCAAAUUCACUAUCACUAAAUGGUGCAUGUGUAAAUUCAACUAAUUCUAAUGCAACAAAUUCUAAAUAUCAGAUAAGUUGGGCUAUACUGCAUGUACAUUGGUAGAUUAAAACAACCCAUUAUUAAUCCUCCUCUCCCUGCACACUCAUUUCCUGUCAUACCAGAUGCCCUUGAAUAAAGGAAUGGAUACCAAAGAAACAGAAUCAUUUUAACAAUCAAUGAUAAGUUGCAUCAAAUUAAUUUAUUUUAACAUGCACCAUUUCAGUCUUCCCAGGACAUGUAAUUUGUCAUGUCUGACAAAUGACAUAACUGUGUUGUACAGGAGAAAAUAUGGCAGCGUCCAAUCACAUCAUAUUAAUGCAAUGUUCCUACAGAUCUAACAAUAAAGAGCAACAGACUUGA